GCUCAGUAUCAAGCCAUAUUUUGUGAAAUAAUUAAUUUCUGUCGAAAAUAAUCAAAAAUAUUUAAUUUCAUUAACAUUUUCUUUUCUGUGUAUAAAAUCAAUAUUAUAAUGUUAAUGGGUAAUAUUAUUAAAAUCAUAUCGGAUUACGUACUACCGGACAUUAUUUAUCGGACCAAAUUACGUUAAACCAUUUUGAGCGGUUGUUUAAAUAUAUGGAUGUAAUAAAUAUAGGAACUUUAAAAUUGUGUUCAUAAAUAAUGUGAACAUAGAUUCUGUUAAAUGUUAAAUUGUAGAAAAUAUUAAGUAAUUAUACUAGAAUUACUUAUUCAAACGAUUAAAGUAAGUACCUACACAGUAUUAUUUGUUAUAGAUGUGUAGACGAUUAUAAGGAAAUGAAUAUGUACCUACAAUAUGUUUUUUAUGUAAAAUACCUUCCU